rnacentral:rRNA from 1 species
UUGACCUCGGAUCAGGUAGGAAUACCCGCUGAACUUAAGCAUAUCAAUAAGCGGAGGAAAAGAAACCAACAGGGAUUCCCCUAGUAACGGCGAGUGAAGCGGGAACAGCUCAAAUUUGAAAUCUGGCCCUCGGGUCCGAGUUGUAAUUUGUAGAGGAUGCUUUUGGUGCGGUGCCUUCCGAGUUCCCUGGAACGGGACGCCUUAGAGGGUGAGAGCCCCGUACGGUUGGACGCCUAGCCUCUGUAAAGCUCCUUCGACGAGUCGAGUAGUUUGGGAAUGCUGCUCUAAAUGGGAGGUAUAUUUCUUCUAAAGCUAAAUACUGGCCAGAGACCGAUAGCGCACAAGUAGAGUGAUCGAAAGAUGAAAAGCACUUUGAAAAGAGGGUUAAAUAGCACGUGAAAUUGUUGAAAGGGAAGCGUUUAUCACCAGACUUUUUCUGGGGGGAUCAUCCGGUGUUCUCACCGGUGCACUUCCCCCAGUUGAGGCCAGCAUCGGUUUUCGGAGGGGGAUAAAAGCUUCGGGAAUGUGGCUCCCUCGGGAGUGUUAUAGCCCGUUGCAUAAUACCCUUCUGGGGACCGAGGUUCGCGCAUCUGCAAGGAUGCGC